rnacentral:lncRNA from 1 species
AGAGCAGGCCCAACAGCCUGGUCGCUGAAGCUGAGUGAGCGGCCAUCGCAUCCCCUCAGCCACUCCAGGAUGGGCAGCAGCACGUUACCCAUCUUCCAACUGAUGACCAAAAAGUGGGCUUGAGAAAACAUUUUACCGUUUAAGAAACUGAACAGGAGGGGGUGCCUUCGUUUUGGAUGCUAUUUUUGAGAAGCUGGUCAAAGAAGGGAAAAAUAGAAUUGAUUAGGAAACAAAAUGAAUAAAUUGCUGGUGGCAGUCCUUGGAUGAUUUUAACUCGUCAGAUGCCAAUGCCCGAGGUCUUUUAUUGUGCCAAGGCUGCUUUUGCAGUAUUUCAAUGCUCACGGAUCCUGUGAAUCACUUCUUCCUACACUGAUUCAUCCUUCUGAUCGUCUCUUCAUUUAUUCAUUUCUUAGGGGCCCUUCCCCCUGGAGACAGAGGCCUAGUUGCUUUUAAAAAUAUCCCCCUCACUACCACCAAAAAUAGAAAGUCUGGAGAGUGCUGUUGUGGCUCAGCGGUCCCACCUUGUCCCUGCAGCAUCUCAAGUCGCUGCUGUGUGGCAGGUUUGAUCUCUGCACCUGGGAACUUCUACACGACAAGGACUCGGUCAGGAUAUACACACACAGAUUAUCGAUACCUAUUUUGUUUCAGAUGAUAUGAUGGUGUCUGAAGAUACAGACUCUUGCCUUUCCAGAGGCCAUAGGCAGCAGUAACUUUUGACCUUUUAAUGUCCCAUCCCUAUAAUUUUUAACAAAUUGAGCAUCUACCCAUAUAAUAUUAUUUAUGUAUGUACAUAUAUUCUUUUAUAAUUAGUAUAUGAAAUGUUAGUUCAUUUUAUUUUUUGGAUGAAUGCAUAAAUGGAGGUUAAGGUAUUUUUUUCAUUCACUCCAGUGGACCAUCUCAAACACUUCCUGGACUGCUUCCUCAGUCUGCAACCCCCACUACUGGUAUGUGCCUGACUCUCUCGCUUCUUUCUUCAGAUCUCUGUCAAAUGCCAGGUUUUCAGAGAGGCCUUCCCUGGCCACUCCCUUUAAAAUACUGUCCUCAGCCAUACAAUGAGACACCAACAUCAAAUGCUUUCACUGACAUGUGGAAUCUAAAAAAAGGACAGACGGAACUUCUUUGCAGAACAGAUGCUGACUCAUGGAUAUUGGAAAACUUACGGUCUCCGGAGGAGACAGUUUGGGGGGUGGGGGAUGUGUUUGGGUUGUGGGAUGGAAAUCCUAUGAAAUCAGAUUGUUGUGAUCAUUAUACAACUACAGAUGUGAUAAAUUCAUUUGAGUAAUAAAAAAAAUGAAAAAAAAUUUAAAAAAUAAAAAAA